AUUGAACGCUGGCGGCAUGCCUUACACAUGCAAGUCGAACGGCAGCACGGGAGCAAUCCUGGUGGCGAGUGGCGAACGGGUGAGUAAUAUAUCGGAACGUGCCCAGUAGUGGGGGAUAACUGCUCGAAAGAGCAGCUAAUACCGCAUACGACCUGAGGGUAAAGGGGGGGAUCGCAAGACCUCUCGCUAUUGGAGCGGCCGAUAUCAGAUUAGGUAGUUGGUGGGAUAAAAGCUUACCAAGCCGACGAUCUGUAGCUGGUCUGAGAGGACGACCAGCCACACUGGGACUGAGACACGGCCCAGACUCCUACGGGAGGCAGCAGUGGGGAAUUUUGGACAAUGGGCGCAAGCCUGAUCAAGCCAUGCCGCGUGCAGGAUGAAGGCCU
rnacentral:rRNA from 1 species